AUUUUGUUCUAAGUAAAGGAUUUAUAUAUGUCAAUAUGUUAGAUUCUUUUUUCUUAUACGUAUAUGCUUGGUGGAUUAUGUUAAUAACACAUUUAUGAGCAGCAGGCUUGUGAGAGAUUAUGUCCAAAUUAUUGACCUUUAUAUGCAACUGUGAACGGAUGUAAUUUUUAAUGAUGUAGUGUCAGUUUAGGAUUAGAAGUCAAUACUUCUUGAUUUCACUUUUGUUCAUCCAUCAUUUAAUUUUCCUGUGUUAUAUGAUGUUCUGGGUGUUAUUCACUUACACUAAAAUCACUUGUCUUGUGAUUAUUUUAGUUGUAAUUUUGUCAAGAGUGCGUAAUGAAGAUGCUAAAAACAUUAUCUCCUUAAAUAUCCAGUGGGAUUUUGUAUGGAUAUAUUGUCUUGCACAGUAUAUGCACAAUAGUUGAUACUAAAGAUUUUGUAUGACUUUCUGGUAUCCUGUUGCAUUGCUUUAUAUAUUUUAUUUUUCAUAAAUUCUCCCUGAGCUCUUUGACCAGAGUUGCGCAACUUUUUCAACUUGAAACUGUUCCAAUUUUUACCUGUAGUUAAAAUCAAACCCUUUAGACAUCCCUAUAAGUCUAGAAGUAUAAGGUAAUUACUGUAUAAUGAUUUGAGUAAGCAUGAUUCCCAAACAAAAUUAAAUCAUGGAUUUUUAAAGGCAGAAUUAGUCUCAUACUGAAGGAACUGGAGAACAUUUUAGAUCGGUGCAUAAUUGCUAUGAUAAUCAGAUUUUGAGACUACUGAAUCACAAUUCAUAAGACUUGGCCAAGGAUUUGCUGGUAAUUAAAGUGAAAAUUGAAGUAAGAUAAGUAAUUAUGUUAGACCAGUAGUUAGGAACAAGCUGAAGGAAUGGAGGGAAAAUAAAACCAGAGAGCAUCACAGCUUGUGCCAAAAAGACAUUGCAAGCAAACAAUCUUAAGCAUUGUUUACACUGUUCUAUGAAAGGUUUUACAAGUAACAGUUACUUGAAACCACACUUAUAACGCAUUACACUAGGUUACCACAUAGAAAUUUGACCUUAAUGCAGUUUUACUUUUCCCUUUAGAGGGUUAGUGCCAUCAGUUCAUCUCAUACAGUUCACUGUAGGCAUUACUUAAGGUUCUUUGCAGCAUCCCUAUGGCCCCUAGCUGCAAUCCCUUUCAUUCCUUGUACCGUGCCUCAUUUUUUUCAUUGUCCUUUCCACCUCUUCUAACAAUGUUUGAUAUUGUCACUGCAACGUUUUCAUUCUGUUCCAUCUUUUAAACCUCGCUCUCAGUUUUCCUAUCAGCACUGAAUGACUUCAUAGGUCCCAGUGCUUGGCUGCUUGGCCUUUGGCCUAAAGUGUUUAUUCUUCUAUUUUCUUCAUGCACUUUUACUUGUGACUGAUAAGAUACUCUCCUUUUCUUUAGAAGUGCAACACUUAGCUGCUACUCCUUUUAAUAACCUCUCAAUACUGACUUCACUCUCCAGUAUGUUCUCAGGAGAUAACAGAAUGUUUUAUCUUCUCCAUGAGUUCCAUUAUCUUUGUAAAGGCCUCCCCUUCCUCUGCAACAUGGUGUUCUCAUUCCCCCCUCUGCCCUAUUCAUUCAGUAUUCGUUGGAAAUCUAUUACCUCAUGUAUUUUAUAGUUCUGAGCAUUGGAUUUGACACUAUCUGUUACACUGGGUAAUAUAUUUACCCCUAAACUUCUUUUGCAACAUCUGAAUGAUGGUUUUCCUGACUAAUAUUUUGGUGUGUCCUUUGAGUCAUCAUAAGCUAGUUUGCUUACAUUGAUUUUUAGUCAUCUUUCACUUUUAGUUGUAUGCUCUUUUCUGCAUUUCUGCAACUUUUUUUAUAUUCUGAUUCAAGUGAUAAAAUUUUUUUCAUUGGCUCUCAGCAGUUCCCAGAAGUCUCUCUUUUAUCAUUUCUUUGUAGCUUCAUCUAUGGCUAAGAUAUGAGUUAAAGUUCAUAGUGCUCGUCCUUGAUGUGACACCUGCAGUUACUUAAACUUCUAACACUCCUGCCUCUUCUCUGUCAAAUGUCUUCUCAAUAUUGGUAAUUAUUUUAUUCCUCUGUGAUUUAUAUGUAUUGUUUUCCUUUUAUAUUAUUAUUAUCAUACAGAACCACAGUUUUCUGGUCUCGUCUUUUGUCAUUAUUGAUGGAUUAAGGGCUUUGCCACUUAUCUUCCCAAGGCUUGUCAGAACUUCAAGUACAUUAUAUUUCCUUCUUUAAUGCCAGCAUCCUCCAGUUUGUAUCUCCAUAUUAAAAAAAACUUAAAUACUUCCAUCGUUCCAAUUCUCCCUCCUGUUAACAAUAAAUUUAUCCAUUUUCAACUCCUCUCUCGCACUUAAUUUUUCAUCAUCUAUUUGCUACUCUUGAAAAUUUUCUUCUUCCCCCCUGCUGUGUUCAAAAUCCAGUUCCAUGACCCGCAAAUAAUCCUCUACAACCUUUAGCCUUCCAUCUUAUCUUCUUUCUGUAUACCUGUCUGUCCUUUCCUCUGCUGCCAUCUUGUCUCAAUCUCUGUAUUGUUAUACUAUUGCAUUUUAUCUGCAGUUUCAACAUUUUGCUGCUAUAGCCAUGGGGCACUGUUUGUACUUUCUUUUUAACUGUUUGUUUUUCAUUAUUUUGACUAAUGUCACUGUCAGUCUUAAGAACAGCAAGGUAGGCAUUGACUCAUAUUCAGCAUUUUACCCAACACCUUGCC